rnacentral:rRNA from 1 species
AGCAGCCGCGGUAAUUCCAGCUCCAAUAGCGUAUAUUAAAGUUGUUGCAGUUAAAAAGCUCGUAGUUGAAUUUCGGGGUUAGCAGGUCGGUCGUGCCAUCGGUAUGAACUGGUCUCGCUGAUCCCUCCCUCUUGACGAACUGUGAUGCCAUUAAUUUGGUGUCGCAGGGAAUCAGGACUGUUACUUUGAAAAAUUAGAGUGUUUAAAGCAGGCUCACGCUUGAAUACAUUAGCAUGGAAUAAUGAAAUAGGACGUUUGAUCCUAUUUUGUUGGCUUCUAGGAUUGACGUAAUGAUUAAUAGGGAUAGUUGGGGGCAUUAGUAUUCAAUUGUCAGAGGUGAAAUUCUUGGAUUUAUUGAAGACUAACUACUGCGAAAGCAUCUGCCAAGGAUGUUUUCAUUAAUCAAGAACGAAAGUUAGGGGAUCGAAGACGAUCAGAUACCGUCGUAGUCUUAACCAUAAACUAUGCCGACUAGGGAUCGAAUGAUGUAAUUUUUAAUGACU